CCCGACUUACCAACCCGAUGCAAACUGCGAAUACCGGAGAAUGUUAUCACGGGAGACACACGGCGGGUGCUAACGUCCGUCGUGAAGAGGGAAACAACCCAGACCGCCAGCUAAGGUCCCAAAGUCAUGGUUAAGUGGGAAACGAUGUGGGAAGGCCCAGACAGCCAGGAUGUUGGCUUAGAAGCAGCCAUCAUUUAAAGAAAGCGUAAUAGCUCACUGGUCGAGUCGGCCUGCGCGGAAGAUGUAACGGGGCUAAACCAUGCACCGAAGCUGCGGCAGCGACGCUUAUGCGUUGUUGGGUAGGGGAGCGUUCUGUAAGCCUGUGAAGGUGUGCUGUGAGGCAUGCUGGAGGUAUCAGAAGUGCGAAUGCUGACAUAAGUAACGAUAAAGCGGGUGAAAAGCCCGCUCGCCGGAAGACCAAGGGUUCCUGUCCAACGUUAAUCGGGGCAGGGUGAGUCGACCCCUAAGGCGAGGCCGAAAGGCGUAGUCGAUGGGAAACAGGUUAAUAUUCCUGUACUUGGUGUUACUGCGAAGGGGGGACGGAGAAGGCUAUGUUGGCCGGGCGACGGUUGUCCCGGUUUAAGCGUGUAGGCUGGUUUUCCAGGCAAAUCCGGAAAAUCAAGGCUGAGGCGUGAUGACGAGGCACUACGGUGCUGAAGCAACAAAUGCCCUGCUUCCAGGAAAAGCCUCUAAGCAUCAGGUAACAUCAAAUCGUACCCCAAACCGACACAGGUGGUCAGGUAGAGAAUACCAAGGCGCUUGAGAGAACUCGGGUGAAGGAACUAGGCAAAAUGGUGCCGUAACUUCGGGAGAAGGCACGCUGAUAUGUAGGUGAAGUCCCUCGCGGAUGGAGCUGAAAUCAGUCGAAGAUACCAGCUGGCUGCAACUGUUUAUUAAAAACACAGCACUGUGCAAACACGAAAGUGGACGUAUACGGUGUGACGCCUGCCCGGUGCCGGAAGGUUAAUUGAUGGGGUCAGCGCAAGCGAAGCUCUUGAUCGAAGCCCCGGUAAACGGCGGCCGUAACUAUAACGGUCCUAAGGUAGCGAAAUUCCUUGUCGGGUAAGUUCCGACCUGCACGAAUGGCGUAAUGAUGGCCAGGCUGUCUCCACCCGAGACUCAGUGAAAUUGAACUCGCUGUGAAGAUGCAGUGUACCCGCGGCAAGACGGAAAGACCCCGUGAACCUUUACUAUAGCUUGACACUGAACAUUGAGCCUUGAUGUGUAGGAUAGGUGGGAGGCUUAGAAGUGUGGACGCCAGUCUGCAUGGAGCCGACCUUGAAAUACCACCCUUUAAUGUUUGAUGUUCUAACGUUGACCCGUAAUCCGGGUUGCGGACAGUGUCUGGUGGGUAGUUUGACUGGGGCGGUCUCCUCCUAAAGAGUAACGGAGGAGCACGAAGGUUGGCUAAUCCUGGUCGGACAUCAGGAGGUUAGUGCAAUGGCAUAAGCCAGCUUGACUGCGAGCGUGACGGCGCGAGCAGGUGCGAAAGCAGGUCAUAGUGAUCCGGUGGUUCUGAAUGGAAGGGCCAUCGCUCAACGGAUAAAAGGUACUCCGGGGAUAACAGGCUGAUACCGCCCAAGAGUUCAUAUCGACGGCGGUGUUUGGCACCUCGAUGUCGGCUCAUCACAUCCUGGGGCUGAAGUAGGUCCCAAGGGUAUGGCUGUUCGCCAUUUAAAGUGGUACGCGAGCUGGGUUUAGAACGUCGUGAGACAGUUCGGUCCCUAUCUGCCGUGGGCGCUGGAGAACUGAGGGGGGCUGCUCCUAGUACGAGAGGACCGGAGUGGACGCAUCACUGGUGUUCGGGUUGUCAUGCCAAUGGCACUGCCCGGUAGCUAAAUGCGGAAGAGAUAAGUGCUGAAAGC
rnacentral:rRNA from 1 species